CUCCAAGAGGAAAGGAUCUCAUUUAUCUUGUUCACUGCUGUGUCUGGAGCCCCUAAAACAUUGCCCAGCAUAUAGCAGGUGCUCAGUAAAUUUGAAUAAAUCAAUGAAUAAACCAUGGCAUAUAGUUGGCACCUCACCUUCAUACCACCAAAAAAGUUUUCUUUUUUAUCAUGUGCAACUUCGCUGCUGAUUUUACUUACUUUUUGGCUUAAAUGAAAGAAAAAAGAAAGAUUGUGAUUAUCUGCACAUUUUUCUUAAAGAACAAGUAUGUACUGACGGCCAAUUUUAUCUCCUCAUGAAAAGCCUGGGGUCAUCAGAGAGGACUGACAGUAUUCCAGCCAGAAACAAUGCAAGGGGACAUUUUAGUCAGGGGCAUCCUUAACCUGCGUAAAUGUGUUACAUCCAACAGGCCUUUAGCAAUCUUGAAUAGUGCCUGCACCCACAUUAUGAUUGUCACAAUCAAGUGACAAUCCAGUCAACCCUGGAACUCAUUAUCAAGUAUUUCAAGAUCAUUGUCCAUCCAGCCCUCCACUGAGCACCUACCUGCCUGGUGUGGAACAGAUCCCUUGCUGGACAAGGGUCUACAAAGAUGAACAAGACACAAUGUCUGACCUCAAGGUGUUCAGACACCACAAAGGAGGCUAAGACCCAAACCAACAGUCUCCCACGUGGGACCUAGUAACCUGCUGUGCAAGAACAGGAUCCAGAUUGAUGAAGCGCAGCGUGAGCAUGUUUGUCAUCGUUGUUCAUUUCUUUAGGAAGACUUUUUCGCCUACAUUAGAGAGUCUGAAGGGCAGACGGGACCUGACUUGCUCCUGAAAAAUGGAACACAACAAAAGUGAUGGAUGUCACUUCUGAGAUUAGGAAAAUGCCUCUGACUUCUGCCCUUCUGGCCAUCUCUCAUGCUCCCCUGCUCUCUGGCUUGCUCGCUCUGGGAAAAUCCAGCUGCCCUAUGGAGAGGCCCACACGGCAAGAAACCAAGACAGGCCUCUGGCUAAUAGCCAGCAAGAACCUGACACUUGCCAACAGCCACACAAGUGGGCUCAGAAGAGGAUCCUCCCCAAGCUGAGCUUUGAGGGGCAGGCAGCCCUGAUGGUCUCCUUACUGCGACCUUGUGAGAAGCUCUGAACCACAAUGCAAACUACUCCACAGGAAGUGAGAGACAAUAAUAAUUAUGGUUAUUAUUAACUUAGUAAUAAUAAAUGUUGGUUGUUUAAUCCUGCUAGAUUUGGGGGUAAUUUGUUAUGCAGCAACAGAUAGUAAAUAUAGUCACUUAUUCAAGACUGUACCUAUGGGGUGCCUGUCUGGCUUAGUCAGUAGAGCAUGAGACUCUUGAUCCCAGGGUCAUGAGUUCAACCCCUACAUUGGGCAAAGAAUUUAUUUAAAAUUAGAAAAAUACUAUGUGAUAGGUAUGUCACUGAGAGAAGUGGUUGGAAGUAUAACCAUUCAUUGUAUUCUACGGCGCAGACACAGCAACGAAUGAGGAAUCUACAAUGCACGCCCGUGUGUGUAUAUGUGUGUGUGUAUGUGUGUGGUGGUUGGGGACCAGAUAGGAAGAAAGAUGUAGAAACUGGUGGUUUACUGCAUCAAUAUUGCCAAAUUCUUGUAGCUCUAGCGGCAUUCCUGCCUGUCACUGAACAAUCUGGAAAACUUGAUAUUAUCACUCAGACCUGCUGACUCCUGUUUGCAAACUGAAUCUCCAGUCACUGUCUGGACCCCAAAUGGUGUCUUUCUUCUCCCUUUGACUUAUAUUUGUGGGUCAGCUUGUGCCAGCCGGGUCACAGACCACUUCUUUCCCUG